CCUCUCUCUCCCCUAAGUUCUAAUUGCCUUCCUAUUGUACGCAUGCAGAUUCCUAUGGCUUUCCAAAACAUUGUUGUUUUGAAUUUUGAAGAUAAAUUGCAUUCAGAAACAUUUCAAUGUUACAAGAACCGAUAUAAGAUGCAUCCAAUGAUUCAAGAAAUAGCACUCGAAUUCGCAGAAAUACAAAUGCACCUAGGGGUGGAUUUUUUUGCCAAAUUGCCGUGUCAACCGAAUUACCAACCGUACCAUACCGAUUUUGUGCCAAAUUUUUUGUGCCAAUCGGUAAUGGUACGGUAUUGUACCGUACCGAAAUUUCAUGGUAUGGUAUUGGUAAUGGAUAUCAUUACCACGGUAUUACCUUACCGUGCCGAACAUAUAAUAUAAUAUAUAAUUUAUAAAUUAUAUAAUAUAUAAUUAUAUAACACAUAUUUAUAAUAUUCUAAUAAUUUGAUAUGAUGAAAGAGGCUCAACCUCGGUUCAAGAUUCCAAAUAGGAAGAAGAUUGCGGCUAGUGUGUGUGAUUUAUAUGUGUUGGAGAAGUCUAAGUUAUUUGAAGCAAUGCAUAAUCAAAGGGUAAGUAUCACAACCGAUACUUGGACAUCGGUACAAAACAUUAACUACAUGGUAGUUACCGCUCACUUCAUGGAUAGGGAAUGAAAGUUGCACAAACGGAUUAUAAACUUCAUAAAGAUCACAGGUCAUAAGGGAGAAGACAUUGGGAAAGUUCUAGAAGUGUGUUUGAACCAAUGGAGGAUAGAGAUGAUCUUUAGCAUGGGGGCAACUUCUAUUUGUUUUGGUUCGUAGCUUCUAUUUGGAUUGUAAACUUAAUUUUCAUCAUGAAUCUUGAUGCAUCAUUUGAAUUAUUAUGUGUGUGAAUUGUGAAUGAUGAAUAAUCGAUGAAUUUAGGCUACAAAGUAUUAGAUAAAGGUACAAUAAAAAAGUUUUGCACUUGAAUUGGGUUAAAAAAGCCAAAACAAAUUUUGUCCCAAAACAAAGUGGCAAUUACCAUUGCCAUACCAUGUCAACCGAACAUUUGGCAAUACCGAAAGUUUGGUAUGGUAUUGGUAAUAGAUUUUACCAAACCGAAAGUUUGGUACGGUAAUUGGUACGAGGGUUUUGGUACGGUAACCGUACCGAACCCACCCCUAAAUGCACCAACGUUUUCUUGUCAAAUGUUCAACACUGGACUUUAUAUUCAACACUGGACGUUACAUAAUCAAGUUAUUGUAAUUCAAGAAGGCCAUACCUCCACUCACUCUGAGAUACAAAGGCAUCUGUGUUCUUCCUUAGGGUUUUCGUCUGCAAGACCAGCUUUGAUUGGGGAAGCGUCACUUUUAUAGUCCGUAAUAAUUCUCUUCUCACUUUCUUCACUCAUAACAUUUUUGGUCUGCAUAAAGAACAUUACUACGUUUAGCUUCCUAAAGUUAUAUUUGCAAGAUGAAAAAAAAAAAAA
rnacentral:lncRNA from 1 species